CAUUUUGCGCAGUGGCAGUAUCGUAGCCGAUGAGGUCAACCGAGGCGCGAUUGUUGCUUAUUGAAAACUUGUGGAGUCCUGUAGCUCAGUGGUUAGAGCACUCACUUUGUAGUGAGAGACCUGAGUUCAAUUCCAGGCAGAGGGCGAAACCU
rnacentral:snRNA from 1 species